rnacentral:rRNA from 1 species
GACGAACGCUGGCGGCGUGCCUAAUACAUGCAAGUCGAACGCAGUGGCGGACGGGUGAGUAACGCCUAGGUAACUGCCUAUUAGAGGGGGAUAACUAUUGGAAAAGAUAGCUAAUACCGCAUACUAGUAGAUGGCCCUGCGUUGUAUUAGCUAGUAGGUAGGGUAAUGGCCUACCUAGGCGACGAUACAUAGCCGGCCGUGGAGGGUGAACGGCCAAACUGGGACUGAGAAACGGCCCAGACUCCUACGGGAGGCAGCAGUAGGGAAUCUUCGGCAAUGGGGGGAACCCUGACCGAGCAACGCCGCGGGAGUGAAGAAGGGUGUCGGAUCGGAAAGCUCUGUUGUGAAGGAAGCGGUACUUAACCAGAAAGGGACGGCUAACUACGUGCCAGCCGCCGCGGUAAUUC